CCAGGGCGCAUGCGCACAGGCACGCGGCGAUGCUGUUCCUCGCUCUGCGCAGGAAAUCCGCCGAGCUUUGUUAUGAUUAGUCCUCGAGGCAACAUAGCACAUGCGCCAGGACAGUCAUAACUAGCAUUCAAAUCUACAAAACCUCGAGGUGCAUGCGAGCAGUCGAUUCCUGGAGCCUGCUUCGGGAACAGACUAUUCUGACUCCUAGCACCCUGCGCCCCUCGCACGCGUAGUGAGGAGUCGAAAACAACGCACGCGUAGGUCUGCAGCGACUGCACCAGUUGCUUGAGCUCUUCCCACUGCAGGAGCUCAGAACUGACAAGAACCCUGACCAAAGCAGCGACUUCAGCAAUCCCGCGUCAUACCGCAACAGAAAUGGGGCACUGCUGUACGUCAGCGAUCUCUGACUCAAGCACAGGGGCUGCACGAAGGACACACGCUGCAGCCUCCCUGUUUCUGUGGGGUUUGGGAUUGAUGUUUGAGCCAAAAGGCCUCGUGCUGCCAUACAGGCAGGUGCUGGGUUCACCCACUGAGGACGCCAAAUCCUAAAAUAAUGUCACAGUGGUCUUCAAUUGCUGUGCGAGGAGAUGACGUGCAUUUCUCCCUGGGGAGCUGUAAGCUGACCCCACAGUGUGGCAGACAGCACCAAAAUGGGAUGCCAUCCUGUACUUUCCUACCCUAGUAACUCCUGGUUCUGCUGGUACACCUCUUGUACCUGGAGCUGGCUCUCCAUCUGGCUGAGACGUCAUCUUUAACACUUCAAAACAAGCCUAAGGAGAAAAGAUUUUGGUGAUGUGACAUGAAAACAGACAGCACAAAUACAGACCAGUAUGACUGAAGAUGUACACGCUGGGUGUUGAAUACCAUUUGGAAACCAAACCCCAGUUACUUGACAGUCCAGGAAAUUUCUCACAGUUGAGCCAUUGUGUUUUCUUCAGAAGUUAGAAAUAAGAUUGGCAGAGUCAUGUCCGUAUUCACCCAUGCAGCAAAGUACUGGAAGAACUGCAUUAUUUCAUCCCACUCUUCAUGCAUGUUCAAAAUAGUCGAUGGGUGAAGGAAUGCUGGCUGGUUUUACGCUAAGAAAAAAUCCUCCACAAGUUCACAUUCAGUACAGUGAAUACACUUUUAUUUUUGCUAGAUGGUCUGCUGGUUUCUCCAGUCAUCUUAUGUAACACGAGGGAACAUUUUGUUGUUUGAAUUUCUAUAACUGCCUAUUUUCUGUGUUCAGAGGAGUAGAUUCCCUUACAUAUGGGGUAUUUUUAACUGGGUAAUGUAACUCAGAGUAAUAACACAUAAAAACAAUCUUCUGUGUUGGUUGUUUGAAAGAAAGCUGUUUAUUCAUUAGAAAUGUUAGAAACAUAAUAAUCCCAUUUGAUAGUUUUUCAUCAGACUGUGAAGUUCCGAGUAGAAAAUAGCACUGAAGUUCAAUUGCACGUUGUAAACAAGUUUUAAUGACAUACACCUUUUUAAAUAUCCCUCAGUAAUGCAUGCUAUUAUUGUCCUCAGGACCACUGGAUCACCUUGUCCUAAUGGUUCAAAGCAUGCAAAAAAUCUUUAUCUGGAAGAAUAUGACAACUGAGAUUUUUUAUUGGUACACAAUAGCACAAUAAAUUCUGUCACCUGUAAUUAACUUGAUGCCAUAGUUCACUGCUGCAGAUCUUAAUGUAAAGAUUGCUGGGGCAAUGCUUUCAGGGCCAAAACUUCAGCCAGACUGUUGUGUGUGUGAAGGAAAGCACUGUAAAUCUCUGAAUUCUGUAUGGAUGGGGCCUUAUAAAUAUUUCUAUAAUUAGUCAGAGCACAGUAAUUUUUUUUUUUC